GAGCAGCAUAAGCCAGGCUCUAUGGAAUGUUGGGUGAGCUGCUUGAGGAACUCCAAGGCCUGUCCCACAGUCUUCCAGCCUCCGACUCUCCGGCCCUCAGCGAGGUCAGCAGUGAGCUACUUUUGGAUCUGUUGGGAUCCCUGAGCCCGUGGUCCAGGGAGACUCUGAACAGGGAGAUCUUUUGUCAUGACAUGGUUGUCUCUUGUUGUGCAAGCAAGAGUCAGGGGACAAAUGACAUUGGCUUUAGCCCCCUGCCAGCAGUACCAGGGCCUCCAGGACGGGAGGGAAGGACCAGGCUGAGGCUGGCAUAUGGGAGAGAGCGUGUGUGCGCUGGCGUUUCACCUGCUAGGGCUGCCUUCUGCUGGGCUGUCCAUCUGGCACCGAAGUCCCACUGGUUUUUUUGGUUGGUUUUUUUUUUUUUUUUUAAGGUUUUUUGGUUUUUUUUUUUUUUUCUCAUUCCUGUCUUGGGAGCUUUCCCCAACCAGAGAGAGUGAUCUUUCAGCAGACUGAUCGAACACACAGGCUUCUCAGCCCACUCCCUCCAGUCAAGGUUAAGGCCUGGCAAAGGUGGAGGAAGAGAAGCUGAGGAGAAAAAGGCGAGGAGAGCCUAGGCACAGGAAGGUGACCGUGAGUAGAGUUGGGUGGUCCAGGGAUGUGGCUGGGAUCCCCUCUUCCUUCUGGAGUUCUCUUAGACAGUAAGGCUGAAGAGAAGCUUGGUACAGGAACUUCGAAGGUUUCUCAAGCGCUUCCCUCCCUCCCAGUGCUGAUUUCCUGUGGACCAGAUUCCAGCACAGUGGAGGGCCAGAGCUCAGGGAACAGACCCAGCAGCACAGCAAGUCUCCAAGGAAAGCUCUAGCAGUCUCCAGGGGCUGAAGGCAGGACUGGGACCAAAAAGAAGACCUGACGUCAUCCUGAGCACCCCCGCCAUGCAGAGUGUGUUCGCAGACUGCCAACGGGCUGGCUCCGGCCAGCAGAAGUGAACAGAGGUGGAGGUUCAGCCUGACAGCUUCUCCCCAAAGCCAUGGAGAGAAAACCUUACCACCCCCACCGCCCAGCUACUUCCAGCAAGUUGUCCAGCCUGACCCCUCUAUUUCCCCUGUUGUCUCUUAUCUGGGUCCCUGAGACCCACCCCAUCUCCAAUAAAGAACAUUGCAUACUGUGCAUCAGUGUUGCCUUGGGUGUGCCAGGCAGGGUCGGGGGCGUGCUGGGUUCUCCAUACUAGAACACCACUACUGA
rnacentral:lncRNA from 1 species